AAGACCUUGCGCUUUUGGAGCGGUCGAUGUCUGAUUAGCUAGUUGGUAGGGUAAUGGCCUACCAAAGCUUCGAUCAGUAGCUGGUCUGAGAGGACGACCAGCCACACUGGGACUGAGACACGGCCCAGACUCCUACGGGAGGCAGCAGUGGGGAAUUUUGGACAAUGGGCGCAAGCCUGAUCCAGCCAUGCCGCGUGAGUGAAGAAGGCCUUCGGGUUGUAGAGCUCUUUCAGCCGGGAAGAAAAGGCUACGACGAAUAAUCGUAGCUCAUGACGGUACCGGAAGAAGAAGCACCGGCUAACUACGUGCCAGCAGCCGCGGUAAUACGUAGGGUGCGAGCGUUAAUCGGAAUUACUGGGCGUAAAGGGUGCGCAGGCGGUUUUGUAAGUCAGAUGUGAAAUCCCCGGGCUUAACCUGGGAACU
rnacentral:rRNA from 1 species